rnacentral:rRNA from 1 species
AUGGGAGAAUCUGGGACCAUUUGCCCUUUCCCUGCUUCCCUGAAGAAACUUGAUGUCGAAGGAGAGGCAAGCAUGAAGUCAAUGGCUCUGCUCUCAAACCUCACGUCUCUCACCACUCUAAGGCUAUCAAACUGCUGGAAUUUAACGGUGGACGGAUUCAAUCCUCUCAUCGCAGUCAACCUCAUAGAGAUGCGAGUGUAUAAUUGCAACACCUUAGCAGCAGAUAUGCUCUCAGAGGUGGCCUCUCACUCUCAGAGGGCCAAAUUAUUGCCUGCAGGUUACUUCUCUAGAUUGGAGGUGCUUAUUGUUGAUGACAUCUGCGGAUUGCUUGUUGCUCCUAUUUGCAACCUCCUUGCCCCUGCCCUCCACACACUUGAAUUCUCGUUUGAUGAGAGCACGGAAAGCUUCACGGAAGAGCAGGACAGAGCGCUGCAGCUCCUCACCUCCCUCCAGAAUCUAAUAUUUUAUGCCUGCGAAGGUCUGCAGUCCCUUCCUCAAGGGUUACAUCGCCUCUCUUCUCUCAAGGAGUUACUUGUCUUUGGGUCACCAAAAAUCCGAUCGAUGCCCAAGGAUGGCCUCCCGGUUUCGCUGAGAAAGCUACAGAUGAAUGAUCGCAUCGCUGAGAUAGACAAGCAAAUUGAGACAAUCAAAAGAACCAACCCAGAUUUAUCCAUCUCAUAUUACCCCUCAAGCACCAGCUGUGAGAUAGACCUGAGCGCUUUUUUCGCAUGA